AUCUUACUUUAAUUAAACAUGUUCUUUCCUGGAGAAAUUGCACUUGAUACAAAAAACAGCUCUAGGGUACAAAGAGACAUAUGACUUCCUCUUGCAGCUCCACUGACUUCGCAAGUAUAAAACAUGAGUGCAUAAUGGCUCCAAUCCCUGCAACAUCCUUACCAUCAUCUGAGUGUGAAUGAUCGUCACAGACAUCCAUAAAAGACAAUUACAAAGGACAAAAAGACUCACCCUCUUAGCAACUCUUAACCCCUAUCAGUGACGUCAUUUCACAAUGAUGAAAAAUGCAUUUAUAUGAAUAAAAUACAUCUGAAAAACAGCAGAGGGCACAGAUUGUGCUGCUGCAAGAAAAGGGCACGAUCCAGGUGGUCAAAAACAUGAGAAUGUUUUAUAUUAAGCGCUUCAAACAAACUCAUAAGUGUAUUAACGUGGCAUGUUGUGUCAGAUGCUGAGACAGAUGCGUGCUGUUUAAUGUGUUCCAUGCAUGUUUUCUUAAGUGCAAAAAUUACAUUUUUACAUUUAUAUCCUUAUCUGUAAAUGUUAGAAAUUCAUGCCAGUAUUUCCAUUUUACAUAAAGGCUCGUCCUGACAGGGGACAAUCUCCAUUAAACUUCACUGAAUGAGAGCAAGUCUGCGCAUACGUGGCAAUCAAAAUAUGUUG
ensembl:lncRNA